UACGGAGGAUGCGAGCGUUAUCCGGAUUUAUUGGGUUUAAAGGGUGCGUAGGCGGGCAUUUAAGUCAGCGGUAAAAAUUCGGGGCUCAACCCCGUCCGGCCGUUGAAACUGGGGGUCUUGAGUGGGCGAGAAGAAGGCGGAAUGCGUGGUGUAGCGGUGAAAUGCAUAGAUAUCACGCAGAACCCCGAUUGCGAAGGCAGCCUUCCGGCGCCCUACUGACGCUGAGGCACGAAAGUGCGGGGAUCGAACAGG
rnacentral:rRNA from 1 species